rnacentral:rRNA from 1 species
GACGAACGCUGGCGGCGUGCUUAACACAUGCAAGUCGAACGGUGAACCCGACUUCGGUCGGGGGAUCAGUGGCGAACGGGUGAGUAACACGUGAGCAACCUGCCCCUAGCUCUGGGAUAACCCCGGGAAACCGGAGCUAAUACCGGAUACGAGACCGAGCGGCAUCACGCGGUCUGGAAAGUUUUUCGGCUAGGGAUGGGCUCGCGGCCUAUCAGCUUGUUGGUGGGGUAACGGCCUACCAAGGCGACGACGGGUAGCCGGCCUGAGAGGGCGACCGGCCACACUGGGACUGAGACACGGCCCAGACUCCUACGGGAGGCAGCAGUGGGGAAUAUUGCGCAAUGGGCGAAAGCCUGAUCCAGCAACGCCGCGUGAGGGAUGACGGCCUUCGGUUGUAACC